CACCACUGCUGUCUGUGGCCAGGAACUAACUAGAGACUGCUGCUGCCAGAAUCUCCCUGAGGGAAGGGGGAGAGUGUUUCCCUUCCAGAACAAUCACAACACAGAAAGGGAAAAACAAAGCAGAUGUAUUUGAGAAAUUUGAGACCCCCCAACCUUAUAUAUUGGAGGAGACCUUUGCUGCAUGAGACCUUUGCUCUGGCAAAUGGUUAUGAUGAAAGAAGCCCUCAAAUCAACUACUGAGAUGAUCUUCCUUAGCAGCUUCUGCUGUCCCAGAGAGGGCUUUCAAACGAGUCUGAGAGGCACAAUCGACCUGCUGCUGAGCCCGGUGGUUAGGAAGGCCAGACGUGCAGAAUGAAGUCCUACCCAAUGAGGAGGUUCAAUGACAGCCAUUGUCUUCCCCUACAGCAGAUUCAGUGUCUGGUUGUGAUCUGAAUUAGAACGACCACUUACCAGGGUAUGUUACACACAGAUCUACUUUUGGACCUGGUAAAAUAAGAUACUAAAGACAAGUAGAUCUUGGAUGUCAAAUUUUAUACUGCAUACAAAUAUCAUUAUGAAACUGUUAUAUGCCCAUUUUAAUUGGACGUGUCACAGGGUGCAGUCCCAGCGUGUAACCCCCACAGGGCAAUGCAGUCACCCAGCCUAAGUUUCCCCUCCUGGAGCUCUGACUAAUUCUUCCAGUCAUCAGCUCAGUUCAGUUGCUGAGAUGACACAGUCCCUCCAGCGAAGUCACAAGAGUCCACUCCUUCUGUGGUAUCAAAAUCCAAUAAAACAGAUGACCAACCAGUCUUUUGCCCUAGGCUUAAGCUGUGCACAGCCCGUCCUGCCCCAAAGGUUUGUCUUCCGCUCACCUUUACCCCCUCUUCAGCCUGUCCUCUGGGCUCAAAAUUCUUCCCCUCUUGGGAUAGGGGCUCCACAACUCUCCUCCUUGGGACUGUACAGUGGGAACCUACCCUUGUGCUCUUUGAGGGGCCCAGCCUGGGAACCUGAACCAAUGGGGCUGCCUUGCCCCAACAGCCAGGGCCCAGUUCUAGGGGU